AAAAACAUCGCCUCUUGAUAAGCCAUAAGAGGUCCAGCCUGCCCAGUGAUAAAUUUAACGGCCGCGGUACCCUGACCGUGCGAAGGUAGCAUAAUCACUUGUUCUUUAAAUAGGGACUAGUAUCAACGGCAUCACGAGGGUUACACUGUCUCCUUUCUUCAAUCAGUGAAACUGAUCUCCCCGUGAAGAAGCGGGGAUAUAAUCAUAAGACGAGAAGACCCCAUGGAGCUUUAAAUUUUACUGCAACUUAGUCAGAUAAUCCAUUAUAAUUUACAAAGCCCUGCAUGUUAAUUUUAGGUUGGGGUGACCGCGGAGUAAAAACUAACCUCCACGACGAAAAGAACUAAGUCUUUAUCCAAGAGCUACAACUCUAAGAAUUAGAAUACUAACGACAAUGACCCGACAAUCGAUCAACGGACCAAGUUACCCUGGGGAUAACAGCGCAAUCUACUUCGAGAGCCCAUAUCGACAAGUAGGCUUACGACCUCGAUGUUGGAUCAGGGUAUCCCAGUGGUGCAGCCGCUACUAAUGGUUCGUUUGUUCAACGAUUAAAACCCUACGUGAUCUGA
rnacentral:rRNA from 1 species